UGUUGAUAUCCUGCCUAUAGUGGGGUGACCAGGCCUGUAUGCAAUACUCUAAAUACUCUAGUUGUUAGUUAUUGUUUCAAGUAUGGGUGAAUGGUUUGCCUCAGGCAACAGGCGCGGGGUGAUGUUGCCAAGUGUGAGUGCGGGGUUGAGGGACAGGGUUGCCAACUGCCGAUUUUCACUGCCAAAUUUAACCAGUUUUGGCAGUAAAACGUGUGUUUGGCAGUGAAAAACGACAAUUUGGCAUUUGGCAUAAAAAAAAUUUCUCAAUUUGGCAGUCAAGAAACCGAGUGAUGCAAUUUUGGUUAGUAUUUUGUAAUGAAAUAUUAUUCUCGGCAAACAACCAAGCCCAUGCCUUGGAUACACAUUACAAUACGCGUACGGCUCUGGUAUUCUCGGGCUCUCGCAAGUCUCAACUCUCAAGCCCGUCACCGCCAGUAGUCACUCAGUACAUUCUGUUGCUCGCACGCUUCUGAACUCGCCACGAUGUCUAAGUGGAAAGGACAGUACGAUUCUGGCAGAAAGUACCAGGAUGCAUGGGAGAAGGACUUCCCAUGGUUAACAAAGGCGAAAGAUGAUUGGCUAAAAAUCGGGUUCAUGAGCCCCGUCAACGGAUAACAAACAGGUGGACAUAAUUCAUAAUGAUCAGAAAAUCAAAACAUUGAAAUAUCAAAUAACAAUUAUUCGUGUUUCAACAUUUUUACCAUGUUGGGGAUGAGACUACAAACAUUCAUGGACAACAUCACGCUGUUGUACAGUGUAGCCGAGGAACAAUUAUAAGAUCAUCGUAACAUACUUGAUAAGUGUUCCUCUUAGGCUGUACUGUCCAACUAUGUGUGGUUGUGAGUGGCUGCCCAUCCAAUUCUAAUUCAUGUCCCUUGGUUUUUUACUAACCUGUGCAUUACAUAGCUCAUGCUAAUAUGCAUAAGGUUUUGAAAUUGAACCAGAUUACAUGUUACCUUUUUUUGCAAUGGGUUAUUGUCAUUUAGUCUUGUCAACUCUGUGUUUAUCUAAAUUCAAUGUUAUGCUUGUGAGUGAUUGUUUUUCUGGUGAUGUGGUCCACCACAUCCCACCACAUCAUCUUUUCAUCCUCACCUCAGCACAGCCUAAGAGGAAUCCUGAUCAUCGCACACUUACCAAGUGAUAUGGUUCAUCACAUUAUCUUCUCAUCCACAACUGCAAAUGAAAUCUGGUAUCAGCACAGGACCACACAUAGUUGGACAGCACAGCCUAUGAGGAUCCCCAAUCACUGCACACAUACCAAGAUUGGAUUACCAUAAAAAUUAACAUUUCACGUCACGAAUUUCAACUGACGUCACAGUGGUAGCCAACGAGAUGCCAUGCUACCAUUCCACCAUCAGUCAGUUGCUACCUCCUCGCAGUCACGCAUCUAGCUGCUCCUCUUCUGUUCUACUCCAAGCAACGUCUUGCUGGUGUGAUGUCGGGCAUGGAGCAGUCUCUUCCUCUGUCCCCCUCCCUUUCGUCGUCUUCAGAUGGCAAGAAAAGGAAGCGGUGCUCGGUGAAUGAUUCCACUCCUCCUCCACCUUGCGCUUCACCACCAUCACUCCCAGGGACGAGCUCAGCAGGUGCCACGUCAGAGUCUGCUGUGUUUGGGGACAGAGUUGCCUUGGAUAGGCUGUCUAGCCUAGUGUCGGGCUUUAUUGACAAGCUGAACAGGACCCUGGCAUCGCCGGAUGCAUCUACGGACACCGGGAAUGACUUUAGUGGUUUUUAUGCCCUCUCGUCGUCUGAAGACGAGGCAAAGGUUGCCCCUGCUAGCCAGCCAGACCCUCUUGAUGGUUUAGACCACCUCACCCGUGACAAUGAUGUGGAUGAAGAUUUUCUGAGGGCUUUGGGUGACCUUUCUGGCCACUUCCAUGGCGAGGAGGAGAAGGGAGAGCCGCUGGCCGACAGCAUGGCCACUAUCCUCAACGCCAGCCUUCGCCGACGGCGUGUGUCUGAAAGUGUGAAGUUAAUGUGUGUAAAGAUUAAGCUCCUGAUUAAUGUGCCGAACCUCACGAUGCCUGUGACAAACGCGGCUAUAACCAAGGCCAUGAGUGUGAAUGGAAGGCUGGUAGAUGCCAAGCUUUUCCAGACUAACUGCCUGUUGACAAAGGCAAUAGUUCCCAUUGCUGUGUGUGUUAAUGAUAUUGGACAAAAGAAGGGUAAGAGCUUGUCGUGUUAUUUAGAUGGCCUUAAUAGUUGUUUGCUCCUUCAUACUUCCUCAACCAGUUGCGGAAGGAUGUGGCCCGAAUCCAUGUCCGUGACUCAGCCAUGGUCGAUCUCUGCAAAUGGUACAUGACCUAGUCCAGCCAUACGCUUGCCCUAAAGACAGCUCCCCACCUCUCAACUAAGUCCACCAAAGCUGAAAAACACUGUAUUAUCUAAUUUGUAUGUAUUAUUUACCAUCUAAAUCUUCGUGUCACAGUACACCACAACUUUUAUGAGUCUUUUAAGGUCACAUAUAUGGUAGACAGUCUAAAAACAUGGACACAACAAGGAAAAUAAGGACCAUAACUGGGGUGUUCCCAUGUAUUUUCAAUGGGCGACUGGUAAUGUUUUAGGUGUAAGGAGGGUAGGGUCAGUAGCAGACCAAUAGCACUUCAGCUUCCCUUUUGUGACAUCAUGCCACCUCAACAUUUUCAACCUCCUUGGCCUUUCUUUAUGUCUGUUGUAAUAUGCUUAGGCUUCUUAACCCCACUAUCACUAUAUACUGCAUUUGACUUUUUUGGGAGCCAUAAUGAAGGCCAAUUUAAUGGAGGGGAAAAAAACAAAACAAAACAAAAACAGCACCACAAGAAACACUGUUUAUGAUGCGGUAUCUUGAGGACAACUGAUGCUCCGUGUGACACCAUCUCGCACCAAAGACAGCAACCCUUUUCAUGGACCCAAAUUUCAUUUGUGGACUAAGACAAAAUUUGUUAGAAAACUUAGUUUGUCAACUGAUUUGUUUGUCCACAGGGGCAUUCAUGGACUGGGGUUCUACUGUAAUGUCAAAGGCUAGUUUACCAAGAUGGUCAGUGAAGGGAGAGGAAACCCAAAGCUGGUGGUGAAAAUUAAGUAGUCAAAGAAUUUCUUAUGCAGAAGUUACAGUAUGUGUAGAAAGUCCUGAUGCCAUGUGGCUUAUGUCAUUUCUUUUCUUGGUAAGUGGUUGAGGCUCAUAACUAUCUUCCUGAGGAGGCAAGAUGUUCUGAUGCUUUUGAAACAAUAAUUGGCAACCUUCUACAUUUUCUUAACACAAGCACCAGUGUGUGAAUCAGCUAAGUUAGGUGUUCAGCUGAUAUAGAGAGACUGGUCUGUCAUCUAGUGUAUCAGACAUAGCCUAAUUGCAGUAAUAUCUUGCUUCCCCUCACCUUGUCAAUAUGCCUAAAAUAACUAUAAGCAAAGAAAAAUGUAAGGAGAUGCUUACAUUAUACAUGGUUGGACAAUAUCUUUCAUGGUCAUUGAUUUCCAUUCAAACAUGAGUUAGGCUGAGGACAAUAUAGUGGUUGUUGCUCUGUUCAAGAAUACUAGAGAGGCUAUUGCUCUUACCCUACUUUCCAAGUCUGGUAAGGCUCUUAAGACUGCUCUGAAGAUCCAUGCACUUAUCUCCAGGAUGUUGCAAAAGAACCAAGACUGACAGCAUGGAAAAUCAAAGAAAAAAGAUUUUUGACUCCUACCAGACUUGGAAAGUGGUGCAAGUACAGUAGCCUCACCAGUGUCUUUGAAAUGAUGCACCAAGCACUACGUUGUCCUCAAUCUAACUCCUGUUUGAGUGGAUAUAAAUGGUAGAUUGUGGUCAGCCUUGUAUAAGCAUCUUACAAUUUUCCUUGCUUACAGUAAUUUUAGACAUGUUGAGAUGAUGAGAAGAAGCAAAAUAUUAGUGAACUUAACAUUUGUCUGGUACACCAGAUGACAAACCAUGAUCUUUCUUUAUCAGCUGAACAGCUAACUGAGGUGACUCACACACUGAUGUCUGUGCUCAAAAGAGCUUAGAAAGUUGCCAGUUAGUGUUUCAAAAGCAUCAGAACAUCUUGCCUUCCUCAGAAGCCAGUUGUGAGUCUCAACCACUUACUGUGAAAAGAAACACCGUAAGCCUUGUGGCAUCAAGACUUUGUACGCAUAUUGUAGGUGAGAGGUAUACAGCACAUAUAUAGAUAAUUCUCACAUGCACAACUAAUAUUCAGAGGAAAGGUGCAAAGCCACUCUCUUGUGAUGACAGAGGCCUUUAAGAGGUUGAAAUAUGAGAAUGUGGCAAGGAUCUGAGACAUAAGCACAGACACGAAAAGCAUUUUACAAUUCUUUCAUGAAUUGUGUAAUAGAUAAUGUUACUGACCUAAGCCACUGCAGAACACCUGUUAAAUAUCUGGUUGUUAUUAACAAAAAAAUGUUGAAUCUGACAAUAUCUGUUUAUAUAUAUGCUGGACUAAGCUACCAAUUAUGUGCAAAAUUGUUAUGUACUUGCUGAUAAAACCACAGUGAAUGCUUAGGGAAACACAAAAAAAAAUACUAAGCAAGCUUCUAUAAUUAUCUUUAUUCAUUAACUUUCACACAUACAAAUAGCAUUUGAAAGUUACCUUAUUACAGUCUCGACACAGCACAUUGCAGUAAAGGUCAGAGUACUCGCCAGGCAUAGCUGUGUCUCUGAUUUCAGCAUCUAGUGAUUCCCAUACCUGAAAAUUGCAAUACUUAUUAUAGACUGUGCUUAUUUAGCAGUUGAUGUUCCCCAAUUUUAUGAGUUUGACUACCAUCCUCACUUCUCCCUAUCAAAUAUUCUCUUCUUGUUUACUCACAACUCUUUCAUGGAACCUGACUGACGGAUGCUGAGGCAGAUAGGGUGACACAAUGUGUUGGACUCACAUGUGUCCUGCCAGGUCAUAUGAUUUUUUCACAAUCAUAAUUCUACUAUAUUCAUAUAACAUAUAUCUUAUUAAUUUAGGCAAUAAUGAAUUUACAUAUAUUUCAUAAUUUCUUUUGGUUUAACCCGUAAGAGGUCAGCACUGAUUUACUUCCCAAUACUCGUCCAGGUCACCAAAAAAAGUUUGAAAUUGCCAUUUUUAAAUGUCCCGCUGGAGCUUUAAAUUUACCUCGCUUAGUGAUGCUGCCAGAUGUACAACUUCUGAAUGAGGCUUUUUUAAUCAUUUUAUCAAUAUUUUUUUCCUAUACAGUCAACCCUUGGCUAUCGCGACUUCAGCUAUCACGUUUUAUUGCUAUCACGCACCCAUGAAAAUCUGCUACAAUUUCAUUAUCGCGACCUCAGAUGCCUGCUAUCAUGCGCCCAGCCAUGACAUCAUGGGAUAUCUGAGCGCUCAUUGGCCAAAACCACCUUCCCGCCGAGAUGAAACACAGUCUCUGAGUGCGCAUCCUCCCCACUAAACAGUGAUAGCCAGAUUCUACCAUUUUUGGUGCUUACAAUGGCUACCAACCCUCCACGCCGUCCUCCUACCAUCGCCGAACGUAAACCAAUGAGACAAGACAUAACCCUAUCUGUGAAAUGUUGUUUAUGAAUGCGCCCAGCCAUUUUGGUCAUGACGUCAUGGGAUAUCUGAGCUGAUGUAAUUUUUUUAUGUUACAACCUUUACAUGUUUUAAUUGGUCCCAAUGGAUUAUACAGUAAUUAAAAAAAAAGGUAAAAAUGAGGGAUAUUAGAAGUAAAAUUUGUGGUUGUGGCACCAAUAACAAUUUUCACCAUUUGUUGUUCAAUUCAGCUAUCGCAUUUUCAGCUAUGGCACGGCUAUUUCCACCCCAAUUGGGCGCGAUAGCCGAGGGUUAUGUGUAUGACAUGUGUAUAAUGGUUACAUAUUCAUAAAUUAACCCAUGUUUUAUGAAAUGAAAAAUAUAAAAAAAUAUUUGCAAAUACUGUAAAUACAAUGUAAAAAAUAAUUUGCUCAGUUUACCACAAAAUAUUGUUUAUUAUUUUUUCUUUCAAUAUCUAAGCUUUUUAGUAUUGUAGCAGGGUGGGAUAUUCUUCAAAACAAGGCUCAAUGCAUUGAGCUACAUCACAUUCAUGACAAUAAUACCAAAUGUCGCUCCGUUUUUUUGGGUAACGCCAAGGCAAGGCAGCAGGGUGGGGUGGGGAAGGGGGAUGACUAACCCAUGUCAGAACGACAGGAAACUGUGCUGAUAUAUGCUAGACACUUCAAAGAACAUAAAUAUUAAAGCUGGAGGGAAUUUCAAACGCAUAGAAAGCAAGGAAGGGGCGAACGUACUUGUACGUGAUUGAUCACAGAUAGUAAGCAAAGACUCCACGUACAUGUACCUGAUUGACCUCUUACGGGUUAAGGGAAUACAUAUAAAGAUACACAGUACUACAGUGGGAUUAAGUACAGAGACUAUUUAUAUCUAUCUUAACUUUAUUGCUUCAUUCUUCUGUUUACUUUAUUUAUGUAACAUGUUUUAUUACUUUACACAUAACUGUACACUAAACCCUCUUCUAUUAUGCCUAAAUGGUAAGUCUAUCACUGUGUGAUAGCAGAAAUUGUGAUAGCCAAAGUGAAGAACCUAUGGAAACAAAUUAAAUUGACAUUAGGACCUCCAAGCUGUCACUUUUGCUACAUUCUGCCCACGUUUUUAUACCAUUUAAUAGUAUACAAACAAAGAAAUAAUACAUUAUAAAAAAAAACUUCCCUAAUCAAGAAUCAUAAUAACAACACAACAAGAACAACCCCCACCAGUUUUUCUCACCCCUCCAACUGCUAACUCUGUACAAGGGCCUUAUCAGUAUGAAGUAUUCUUUACAUGUUUAGGGGGGAGGGGUUCCACUCAUACAGUUUUAUUAGAUAGGGUGGAAUCAAAAGCUUUUCAUCUCAUCAACUCUCCUCCUCUAACUGACUGUUUUCAGCCUCUUUCUUACCUCCAGAAUGUUCCAUCCCUUACUAUCUUUUAUUGUUAUUUUCAUGCUAACCACUCUACUGAUCUUGCUAACUGCAUGCCUCCCCUCCUCCUGUGGCCUCGCUGCACAAGGCUUUCUUCUUCCUCUCACUCCUAUUGAGUGCAACUCUAUAAAGCAAGAAUUAAUCAGUAUUCUCAAUCAUUCAUACCUUUUCUGGUAAACUCUGGAACUCCCUGCCUGCUUCUGUAUUUCCAUCUUCCUAUGAUUUGAUCUCUUUUAAGAGGGAGGUUUCAAGACAUUUGUCCCGGAUUUUUGGAUAAUUCUCUUAGCCUUUUAGGAAACUGGCAAACAAGGAGGAGGUAAUAUACACCUACCGGAACAAUAACUUACUCCCAAUGAGAUCUUAUAGCACUAGUUCAGAGGGUGCUGUGAACCUUCCAUUAAAGCUAGUUGUGAUCUCGCUGAAUGUUUCUUUUUGUGUCUCACAACUCAAGUGGGCAG